GGAGAGGUGGCCGAGCGGUUGAAGGCACUACCCUGGAAAGGUAGCAUGGGGGCAACUCCAUCGCGGGUUCGAAUCCCGCUCUCUCCGCCA
rnacentral:tRNA from 2 species